rnacentral:rRNA from 1 species
UACAGAGGGUGCAAGCGUUAAUCGGAAUUACUGGGCGUAAAGCGUGCGUAGACGGUUACAUAAGUCGGGUGUGAAAGCCCCGGGCUCAACCUGGGAAUUGCAUUCGAGACUGCGUAGCUAGGGUGCGGAAGAGGGAAGCGGAAUUUCCGGUGUAGCGGUGAAAUGCGUAGAUAUCGUAAGGAAGACCAGUGGCGAAGGCGGGUCUCUGGACAGUUCCUGACGCUGAGGCACGAAGGUCAGGGGAGCAAACGGG